rnacentral:rRNA from 1 species
AACGAACGCUGGCGGCAUGCCUAACACAUGCAAGUCGAACGAGACCUUCGGGUCUAGUGGCGCACGGGUGCGUAACGCGUGGGAACCUGCCCUUAGGUUCGGAAUAACUCCCCGAAAGGGGUGCUAAUACCGGAUAAUGUCUUCGGACCAAAGAUUUAUCGCCUUUGGAUGGGCCCGCGUUGGAUUAGCUAGUUGGUAGGGUAAAAGCCUACCAAGGCGACGAUCCAUAGCUGGUCUGAGAGGAUGAUCAGCCACACUGGGACUGAGACACGGCCCAGACUCCUACGGGGGGCAGCAGUGGGGAAUAUUGGAAAAUGGGCGAAGGCCUGUUCCAGCAAUGCCGGGUGAGUGAUGAAGGCUUUAGGGUUGUAAAGCUCUUUUACCCGGGAUGAUAAUGACAGUACCGGGAAAAUAAGUCCCGGCUAACCCCGU